CGAACGGGUGAGUAACGCGUGAGGAACCUGCCUCAAAGAGGGGGACAACAGUUGGAAACGACUGCUAAUACCGCAUAAGCCCACGGGUCGGCAUCGACCUGAGGGAAAAGGAGCAAUCCGCUUUGAGAUGGCCUCGCGUCCGAUUAGCUAGUUGGUGAGGUAACGGCCCACCAAGGCGACGAUCAGUAGCCGGACUGAGAGGUUGAACGGCCACAUUGGGACUGAGACACGGCCCAG
rnacentral:rRNA from 1 species